GAUUUGCGCAUGGGCGAAGCCUGNGCAGCAACGCCGCGUGGGGGAUGAAGCUUCUCGGAGUGUAAACCCCUUUCGACCCGGACGAAUGCCCGCAAGGGUUUGACGGUACGGGUAUAAGAAGCCCCGGCUAACUACGUGCCAGCAGCCGCGGUAAAACGUAGGGGGCCAGCGUUGCUCGGAAUUACUGGGCGUAAAGGGUCCGUAGGCGGUGUGGCAAGUCGGAAGUGAAAUCUCUGGGCUUAACUCAGAGGCUGCUUCCGAAACUGCCGUGCUCGAGUGUGAGAGAGGCGAGUGGAAUUACGGGUGUAGCGGUGAAAUGCGUAGAUAUCCGUAGGAACAUCCGAGGCGAAAGCGGCUCGCUGGAUCACAACUGACGCUGAGGGACGAAAGCUAGGGGAGCAAACAGGAUUAGAUACCCUGGUAGUCCUAGCCCUAAACCAUCAGGACUUGGGGUUUGCCCUGUACGGGGCAAGUCCCGUAGCUAACGCGUUAAGUCCUACGCCUGGGGAGUACGGUCGCAAGGCUGAAACUCAAAAAAAUUGACGGA
rnacentral:rRNA from 1 species